rnacentral:rRNA from 1 species
AACGAACGCUGGCGGCAUGCCUAACACAUGCAAGUCGAACGAGACCUUCGGGUCUAGUGGCGCACGGGUGCGUAACGCGUGGGAACCUGCCCUUAGGUUCGGAAUAACUCCCCGAAAGGGGUGCUAAUACCGGAUAAUGUCUUCGGACCAAAGAUUUAUCGCCUUUGGAUGGGCCCGCGUUGGAUUAGCUAGUUGGUAGGGUAAAAGCCUACCAAGGCGACGAUCCAUAGCUGGUCUGAGAGGAUGAUCAGCCACACUGGGACUGGGACACGGCCCAGACUCCUACGGGAGGCGGGAGUGGGGAAUAUUGGACAAUGGGCGAAAGCCUGAUCCAGCAAUGCCGCGUGAGUGAUGAAGGCCUUAGGGUUGUAAAGCUCUUUUACCCGGGAUGAUAAUGACAGUACCGGGAGAAUAAGCUCCGGCUAACUCCGUG